rnacentral:rRNA from 1 species
AGUUUGGAAUCAUGGCUCAGGACGAACGCUGGCGGCGUGCCUAAUACAUGCAAGUCGAGCGAGCUUGCCUAGAUGAAUUUGGUGCUUGCACCAGAUGAAACUAGAUACAAGCGAGCGGCGGACGGGUGAGUAACACGUGGGUAACCUGCCCAAGAGACUGGGAUAACACCUGGAAACAGAUGCUAAUACCGGAUAACAACACUAGACGCAUGUCUAGAGUUUAAAAGAUGGUUCUGCUAUCACUCUUGGAUGGACCUGCGGUGCAUUAGCUAGUUGGUAAGGUAACGGCUUACCAAGGCAAUGAUGCAUAGCCGAGUUGAGAGACUGAUCGGCCACAUUGGGACUGAGACACGGCCCAAACUCCUACGGGAGGCAGCAGUAGGGAAUCUUCCACAAUGGACGCAAGUCUGAUGGAGCAACGCCGCGUGAGUGAAGAAGGGUUUCGGCUCGUAAAGCUCUGUUGGUAGUGAAGAAAGAUAGAGGUAGUAACUGGCCUUUAUUUGACGGUAAUUACUUAGAAAGUCACGGCUAACUACGUGCCAGCAGCCGCGGUAAUACGUAGGUGGCAAGCGUUGUCCGGAUUUAUUGGGCGUAAAGCGAGUGCAGGCGGUUCAAUAAGUCUGAUGUGAAAGCCUUCGGCUCAACCGGAGAAUUGCAUCAGAAACUGUUGAACUUGAGUGCAGAAGAGGAGAGUGGAACUCCAUGUGUAGCGGUGGAAUGCGUAGAUAUAUGGAAGAACACCAGUGGCGAAGGCGGCUCUCUGGUCUGCAACUGACGCUGAGGCUCGAAAGCAAUAACCCUC